GUGGCCUUCAGCUAGAGCUAAGAAGACUCAGAUAAUAUAACAUGCAAUUCCAAGAACCCUACAGGGAUGCUGUUCAAGAGCAAAUGUAAAUUAUGAUGAACUUAUGCAUCCCUGGAGAUUUACUCAAAGAGAGAACAGAGAUGGUUGCCUUUGGGAUGAAUGAAAGCUGCAGUACUCACUGUGCUAUACACAGAGCAAGUAACCCACAUUAGGAAAAUAAGCUUCUGUGAGCAAGACAUGAAGAAUGAUGGCAACAGCAAGCAAAGAAUUGUUCUCAGGAUGAUUCUGAAAGAGCCAGUCCACGGGUGAAUGCUCAUUGGGGAAGCUAGGGUCUCCAGGGCAACUUGUUUCUAUGACACCUGCCACAAGCAUAAAGCAUUGAUCCGUAUCACCCUAUAGAGAAACCAGAAUCAGACACGAUGGUAUACGGCACCCAUCAGUGGUAUACUCUGCAUGUGACAGGUAGCCAGAUACUUGAGGCACAGAAGAACCCUUAUUUUGGGCCUGGAUUAUCAAGAAGAAGAUGUGUGACCAUUCUAGUGACUGAAAGCCACAGAUACCGGAAGACUUUGCUGCAGAGAAGAACGUUGCCUACAGGUCUUGCAGAAUGUUGUGUUGGUGGCAUACAGCACUGGUGUGCCCUUAACUGUCCCUGUGGAUAGCGUUUGUGUUGUUUUGAAAAUAAAGUUUUGCAUCUGGCAUGGUUUUUUUUUUCC
rnacentral:lncRNA from 1 species